GACGAACGCUGGCGGCGUGCUUAACACAUGCAAGUCGAACGGAAAGGCCCUGCUUUUGUGGGGUGCUCGAGUGGUGAACGGGUGAGUAACACGUGAGUAACCUGCCCUUGACUUUGGGAUAACUUCAGGAAACUGGGGCUAAUACCGGAUAGGAGCUCCUGCUGCAUGGUGGGGGUUGGAAAGUUUCGGCGGUUGGGGAUGGACUCGCGGCUUAUCAGCUUGUUGGUGGGGUAGUGGCUUACCAAGGCUUUGACGGGUAGCCGGCCUGAGAGGGUGACCGGCCACAUUGGGACUGAGAUACGGCCCAGACUCCUACGGGAGGCAGCAGUGGGGAAUAUGGCACAAUGGGCGGAAGCCUGAUGCAGCAACGCCGCGUGCGGGAUGACGGCCUUCGGGUUGUAAACCGCUUUCGCCUGUGACGAAGCGUGUGUGACGGUAAUGGGUAAAGAAGCACCGGCUAACUACGU
rnacentral:rRNA from 1 species